GCACAGGGGCACGCACACACACAGUAAUCACACACACAUGCGGCUCCUCAUAAAUCGUCUACAUCAACCAAUUCUCUGCCCUCUCCUUCUCAGUAUCCUCCCACCACCCCAGCUCACCCCACGGUACUCUUUUUCCUUUGUCUCUCUGGCUUCUUUGUCAGUGAGGUGUGCUUCUUGCUCGCUGUAAUAAUAAGGCUUUCAAAAGGCUGGUGGCGGUACCGCUCCGGCUAGUCCUUAGGAGCUGCCCAUGGUUCCACAAAGAUCACUUGUUGACGCCAGGUGAGACAGAGGGAGCGACAGAGACGGGGGAGAAAACGUCCAGAAUGUGCAGACAGAAGAGAUGCUCAGACCUCCCUUUCCCCAGCCACUGCCUCUAGCUCUUCCACGGGGAUACAGAGGUAUUCCCAAGCAAGCCAAGAAACAUAACCUCUGCAGCGUGUCGUGGGUCUGCCCUGGGGUCUCCUCCCGGUUGGACAUGUUGAAACACCUCACCUGUGAGGUGCACAGGAAGCAUCCUGGUCAAAUGCCAGUAACUUCAGCUGCGGAAGCUCUACGCUGAGUACGUCCUGAAUGACUGAGGCUAUCACCACCGUUUGGAAAUAACCUUUUUCAGCGUCUUUUACCCAUAACCUUAUUGUUAAGGUUCAUUACCGUAGGUGAGGAAGGAUGUGGGUUGUUUCACUUUUCACUUUGCAGUGAAAAACAGGUUUUGUUAGGUGAUGACUGGACACAGAGUUCUGUAACACGAUAAAUUAGUGAUAUCAAAAUUAAGUGAAUACAGGAAAUUGCUCGGGAGGAAAAUAUUGUUGCUGGCUCUUUAAUCUCUAGUUGUACCAUAAAAACAUUAUUUUUGAUUAAAAUGGUCCUAAUCUUAAACACCCAACAUCCAAACAUUAAUAAACACACACAUUUUAAGAAGUCUGAUUUUGAUGUUUGGUGCUUUUUACAACUUUUCCUGGUAAUGUACAACCGCCCUCCAACGUUGUCCCUUUGCUUUCCAGUGACUUAGCUGCUCCUGUUAUGAAACAGUACUGCACCAGCAUGUUGUGGAAACUAUUUGUAUGAAGUCAGUGUUAAAAUUUUUGCCUUUGAGGCUUUUGCCAUUAAAAUACUGCACAGCCUGCUGAAAAUCAGUGUCAUCAAAUACUCUCAUGGACCUUACUACAAGUUGUUCAUAGGCAGAAAAAAGUAGUGUCAAAUGCAUCAGCAGUGACCUCCGUGAACCCAAAGCAAGUACCUCCCAUUGUCUGCCCUGGCUUGUUUGUGAAGCUGUGCUAU